rnacentral:rRNA from 1 species
GAUGAACGCUGGCGGCGUGCCUAAUACAUGCAAGUCGAGCGAACAGACGAGGAGCUUGCUCCUCUGACGUUAGCGGCGGACGGGUGAGUAACACGUGGAUAACCUACCUAUAAGACUGGGAUAACUUCGGGAAACCGGAGCUAAUACCGGAUAAUAUAUUGAACCGCAGGGUUCAAUAGUGAAAGACGGUUUUGCUGUCACUUAUAGAUGGAUCCGCGCCGCAUUAGCUAGUUGGUAAGGUAACGGCUUACCAAGGCAACGAUGCGUAGCCGACCUGAGAGGGUGAUCGGCCACACUGGAACUGAGACACGGUCCAGACUCCUACGGGAGGCAGCAGUAGGGAAUCUUCCGCAAUGGGCGAAAGCCUGACGGAGCAACGCCGCGUGAGUGAUGAAGGUCUUCGGAUCGUAAAACUCUGUUAUUAGGGAAGAACAAAUGUGUAAGUAACUAUGCACGUCUUGACGGUACCUAAUCAGAAAGCCCCGGCUAACUACGUG